CGGAGCCUACGGGAGGCAGCAGUGGGGAAUAUUGGGCAAUGGGCGCAAGCCUGACCCAGCAACGCCGCGUGAAGGAAGAAGGCUUUCGGGUUGUAAACUUCUUUUCUCAGGGACGAGGCAAGCGACGGUACCUGAGGAAUAAGCCACGGCUAACUACGUGCCAGCAGCCGCGGUAAUACGUAGGUGGCAAGCGUUGUCCGGAUUUACUGGGUGUAAAGGGCGUGCAGCCGGAGAGACAAGUCAGAUGUGAAAUCCACGGGCUCAACCCGUGAACUGCAUUUGACACUGUUUCCCUUGAGUGUCGG
rnacentral:rRNA from 1 species